UACAGAGGGUGCAAGCGUUAAUCGGAAUUACUGGGCGUAAAGCGCGCGUAGGUGGUUUGUUAAGUUGGAUGUGAAAGCCCCGGGCCCAACCUGGGAACUGCAUUCAAAACUGACAAGCUAGAGUAUGGUAGAGGGUGGUGGAAUUUCCUGUGUAGCGGUGAAAUGCGUAGAUAUAGGAAGGAACACCAGUGGCGAAGGCGACCACCUGGACUGAUACUGACACUGAGGUGCGAAAGCGUGGGGAGCAAACAGG
rnacentral:rRNA from 1 species